AGUGAACGCUGGCGGUAGGCCUAACACAUGCAAGUCGAACGGCAGCACAGUAAGAGCUUGCUCUUACGGGUGGCGAGUGGCGGACGGGUGAGGAAUACAUCGGAAUCUACUUUUUCGUGGGGGAUAACGUAGGGAAACUUACGCUAAUACCGCAUACGACCUACGGGUGAAAGCAGGGGAUCUUCGGACCUUGCGCGAUUGAAUGAGCCGAUGUCGGAUUAGCUAGUUGGCGGGGUAAAGGCCCACCAAGGCGACGAUCCGUAGCUGGUCUGAGAGGAUGAUCAGCCACACUGGAACUGAGACACGGUCCAGACUCCUACGGGAGGCAGCAGUGGGGAAUAUUGGACAAUGGGCGCAAGCCUGAUCCAGCCAUACCGCGUGGGUGAAGAAGGCCUUCGGGUUGUAAAGCCCUUUUGUUGGGAAAGAAAAGCAGCAGGUUAAGACCCCGCUGUUCUGACGGUACCCAAAGAGUAAGCACCGGCUAACUUCGU
rnacentral:rRNA from 1 species